ensembl:lncRNA
CGUAUUGAUCUUUGAUUUCUUUUGAUUUUAGUUGAUGAGAAAUUCCUUUUAGUGAAAAUGAAAAUGUCCGGCUUAGAACUUAUGCUCUUGAGAAAAGGAUGUGGGGAUGCUGAAAAGAGUGAUUUAAAAUAUAAGGUCAGUCGUGGUUGCUUCAAAUAGUAAAUGGUAUGAAAAGAAAGGGAAGCGAACUCUUCAAAUUACAUUCUCUGGAAGCGGACGCUGAGAAACAGUUAGGGUGCAAGAUGAUAAAUAAGGAUCAACACCUGUGAAGGGGAGGUGCCAGGAAGCAGAGAGAAGAGGCCCAUUGUGCCGCAGGCUCACGGGCUGGAGGUUGCGCACCUUUGCCGAGAGGAAAGUGUCCCUGCAGAUGACAUUAGAAGCGCUGUUCAAGACUGGUACUUAGUGCCCGCGGUGGAUCCGCCUGGGGCGGUGAGCUGGGCUUGGAAGCGAGCUGCGAGACCAGCUGGUAUGGCAAGUUUCCUCCAACCGUGGGCCUUCUCCAGCUGCUGGGCCAGCUUCCUCUACCCAGAAAGCUUGCUGAAGCAGCGCCACCUCGCAAGAUUGCUUCCUGCAGAACCCCGAAGCUGGCUAGUUCCUUCUUGUCCAAUGCCCACCUUCCUGCCAUGGGAAUUGUCCUCACAGAUGACAUCGAGCCAUCGUCAGGCAUUCUGAGACUCCUGUCAGGGCUGAAGAAUCAGAUGACCAAAGACUCUGGUGGAUCCAUGGCUUUCCUCUGAGUUGGAAGAAAGGCCACGUGGGGACACAGUGAGAGGUGGUCGUCUACAAACCAGGAAGAGAGCUCUCACCAGAAACCAACUCUGACGGCACCUUGAUCUUGGACUUCUAGCCUCCAGGACUGUGAGAAAAUAAAUGUCUGCUGUUUAAGCCCCCCAGACUGUGGCAUUUUGUUAUGGCCCCCCAAGCCGACUAAUGCAUCAUCCUUCCAGCAUUCUUACAGCUCCCCUUCACUGCUCGCUCCUCCUAGGUGCCCAGGACUUGCCUGCUUCCAUCUCUUUGCUCUGGAAUCCUCUUAGGAUGGCUUUUCUCUCUGUUGCUGAUGUCAAAAUCUCAGUAGCAUCUUUGCAGAUGUAAUUAAUUAAGGAUAUUGACGUGAAAUCAUCUGGAUUCAGAGUGGGCCCUAAAUCCAAUGACAAGUGGAUAAGAAGAGAGGACUCCAAGGUGCAGGGAGAAGACCAUGUGAAGAUGGAGGCAGACAUUGGAGUUAUGCUGCCACAAACCAAGGAACACCAGGAGACACAGGAGCUGGAACAGGCAAGGCGGGAUUCUCCUCUAGGACUUUCAGAGGGAAUGUGGCCCUCAUGACACCAGUUUUGGCAUUUUGGCCCCCAGAACUGUGAGAGAAUGAAUUCCUGCUGUUUUAAGCCACUGAGUUUGUGGUAAUUUUUCACGGCAGCCCCGGAAAGCUGACACACCUUCUCUGAUCCUUCCAGGGCAAAGUUCCCAGGGACCCUGUGCCUCCUUCCUUAGCCUUCCUCCUCCUGGGAUAUCUUAUUUAAGUGCAUCCCACCAUUUCAUCAAGACUGGCUUCUGGAGGGGAAAAUCUUUGAGCCAACAAAGUGCUCACCACAGAGCCUUGGAUGUUGCACUGUUUGUGGUCCACAAAAAUGUCAGUGCUGGACUGUCAAAUUUCCUAAAGGAAAUAAUAUUAACUCUGCCCAGGACAAAAAUCUUGGAGUGAUGACACCUGCAUGUGAGAUAUCCAGAUUCAUUUACAUGGAGGCACGUAGAUGAGAACGAGAAUUUCCUAUAUAAUUGAUUUGGUGGUAGUUUAUCGAUAUUUUAUGAGGAACAUUAUUGUGUGGAAGAAGGAGCGCCAGACUGGGAAUUUAGAACUCUGUUGGUUGGGGUUUGAGUCAAGGUCUUGCUUAUUCCUGGCUGUGAGACCUUGCAAGUCACUCUUUGAGGCUCAGGGUCAGCAUUAGCAAAAGGAGGGUAAAACUGCCAAUGCUGCCUGCCUCAUGGGGGUGUUAUGAAACUUCUAGGAGGCAGGUUAUGAGAGAGGGCUCUGGAAGCUGCAAAGCCUCUAAGUGUGAGCUGGGUUGACCAUCAUCAAGGUGGCCUUGUGGAAUCCUGGUCAUAGUCACAGAGCCACAGGAUUUAGAUCCAUAAGGGAAU